rnacentral:rRNA from 1 species
GAUGAACGCUAGCUACAGGCUUAACACAUGCAAGUCGAGGGGCAGCGGUAUCGAAAGCUUGCUUUCGGUAGCCGGCGACCGGCGCACGGGUGAGUAACGCGUAUCGAACCUGCCUCAUACUCGGGAAUAGCCUUGCGAAAGUAAGAUUAAUGCCCGGUGUUUUCAGAGUCCCGCAUGAGGCUUUUAACAAAGAUUUAUCGGUAUGAGAUGGCGAUGCGUCCCCUUAGCUUGUUGGCGGGGUAACGGCCCACCAAGGCAUCGAUGGGUAGGGGUUCUGAGAGGAAGGUCCCCCACAUUGGAGAUGAGACACGGUCCAAACACCUACGGGAGGCAGCAGUGAGGAAUAUUGGUCAAUGGGCGGAAGCCUGAACCAGCCAAGUAGCGUGCAGGAAGACGGCCCUCCGGGUUGUAAACUGCUUUUAGUGGGGAAGAAAACGGGGCUCGUGAGCCCCCUUGCAUGUACCAUCAGAAAAAGGACCGGCUAAUUCCGUG